rnacentral:rRNA from 1 species
UACGAAGGGGGCUAGCGUUGCUCGGAAUGACUGGGCGUAAAGGGCGCGUAGGCGGCUUGCACCGUCAGAUGUGAAAUUCCUGGGCUUAACCUGGGGGCUGCAUUUGAUACGUGUGGGCUUGAGUGCGGAAGAGGGUCGUGGAAUUCCCAGUGUAGAGGUGAAAUUCGUAGAUAUUGGGAAGAACACCGGUGGCGAAGGCGGCGACCUGGUCCGUGACUGACGCUGAGGCUGCGAAAGCGUGGGGAGCGAACAGG